UACAGAGGUCUCAAGCGUUGUUCGGAAUUAUUGGGCGUAAAGGGUGCGUAGGCGGUUUGGUCAGUUGGGUGUGAAAAGUCGAGGCUCAACCUCGAAAUUGCACCCAAUACUACCGAGCUAGAGUACUGCAUAGGAAGCUGGAACUUACGGUGUAGCAGUGAAAUGCGUAGAUAUCUGGAGGAAUACCGGUGGCGAAGGCGGCAUCCUGGACCGAGAUUGACACUGAGGAGCGAAAGCCAGGGGAGCAAACGGG
rnacentral:rRNA from 1 species